AAAGUUUUGGUCCUAGACUUACCGUUAUCUGCAAUUAAGAUUACACAUGCCAGCAUCCGCGUCCCAGUGAGUACGCCCAACCACUAACCGGAGCAGGUAUCAGGCACAAGCGCAGCUAGCCGACGACACCUAGCUAUGCCACGCCCACACGGGUACUCAGCAGUGAUUAACAUUAGGCAAUGAGCUAACGCUCGACCAAACUAUAAUUUUUAAGGCCGGCAAAUUUCGUGCCAGCCGCCGCGGUUAUACGAAAUGGCCCAAGAUAACACUAUCGGCAUAAAGCAUGGCACUAAACUUCAAAACAUUAAGCAUAAACUAUAACUAAUACGUGAAACAAAGGUCAUUAUUGAAAUCUAACACCAGAGCUUAAAUUAACGAAACCCACAACCCAUGAAAGCCACGGACAAACUAGGAUUAGAUACCCUACUAUGCCAGGCCUUAAAUACUGAUUACUCCGCCAGAGAACAACGAGCAAAAGCUUAAAACCCAAAGGACUUGGCGGCAUUCUAUACCCCCCUAGAGGGGCCUGUCACAGAAUCGACAACCCACGAUAAACCUCACCGCUUCUUACCAAUUAGCCUAUAUACCGCCGUCGCCAGUUCAUCCUAAAAAAGAAAUAAAAUGAACAUAAUAGUUAAUUACACACAAACACGACAGGUCAAGGUGUAGCUCAUGAAGCGGUGUUGAUGGGCCACAUUGUUUAAUUUAAACAAUACCUAAAACCAUUGAAACAUUUAAUAAAGGUGAAUUUAGCAGUAAGACAGACAAGAAAGUCUAUCUAAAAUAUGCCCUAGAAUGUGCACACACCGCCCGUCACCCUACUCAACCCACCAAGAGUAGGCAAGUCGUAACAAGGUAAGUGUACCGGAAGGUGCACUUGGAAAC
rnacentral:ncRNA from 1 species